CUGAAGGCAGCAGGUGAUCAGCGGUGAACCGAGCAGCCGUUGAAAGAUUUCAAAUUUGCGUGACGUCACCCGCCGAGUUUGACAGGAUACUCCUCGACGGGGGACGACCCUUGAGGGCGUGGCCUCACUUCCUCUGUUAAGUGAGAUGGCCCGUCACAUGUCUGCGAGGACAAGAGGUUUAUAUUUUGGGAGCAGUAAGCUGAGACUUCCACCCUGCCUGACUCCUGGCUCACUGGAGCCGAUGAUGAGACUAUUCCGAGUUCUUCCUGGCAAUAAAACCCCCAGGGACCCGCUGCCUCCUCCGAAUGAGGAACUCGUUGACCUGCAGCAGAGGCGAAGGUGAAACGUGAGACGUGGCUUCUCUCUCUCUCUCAUCACUGAUCCUCCACUGGGACAGUUUCCACGCUCCGAGGAGGAGGAGGAACCUCACGACCGACUGCAGGUGAACCUCUGCCUCUCGUCUUAACUUCCGGCUGCAGAGACGAACAUCAAACACAAACUCAACAGACGGUUUUCAAUUUGCACCGUCACGCUCAACAUCAGCCCACACCUGCCUGCCGUUCCGCGGGAUGGCCACCAGAGGGCGCUCUCGUCUGUCAUUUGACUCAUUUGACAUUUAGAAGGUGCUUUGUUGCCCUGAGCUGAGACUCCCAGGCCACGUGUUGCCUUCAAGGACCUCUGGGGCUGCGGUCGAAUUGUCCAUUUUUGCUCAGGAAGGUCCCUGACUUGAGUGAAACGACCCGGACGUAUUUCAUCGGCCGCCAUGAUAAGAGCUGUUCGGAUUCUCUAAGUGCUUCAAUGCUUCCUUUCCUAUCUCCUUUAGCAUAGGGUGCACUGGACCCUUCCUAUGUGAAAGGAAGGAGAUAUAGACGCCCCACAAUUCAUUGCGGCAGCAAUAUUAAACGUGACGCGCCAUCGCACGAACGGAACGAUUCAAUCUGAAGAAGACGAAGGAGAGUAUGAAGAAGGAGAGUAUGAAUAUGACGGUCGUGGAAGUUACCGUUGCCCAUGAAGCAUUUACAUCUGGUGUCACACGGCCGUAGUUUGUAGUUUCACCACGGCGGACAUCUGCCGCUGCAUAAUACUACGCAGUACAGAGUAAGCGGCGUCCUACGAAUCCUCCUUUACACCUUUCCUUGACCUCAUGGCGUGUUUCCUUUUGAGGGUCAAGGCAAAGAAGUUAGGAAAAGGCGACAGGAAAGGACUUUUCCCCAAAUCCAACCCGAGGCUUAGGCCUUCGAGAGAAGGAAGGGUUGUCGCUCGAGGAAUGUUCGCCUGGGAAGCAACACUCGGGGCGAUAAACAACCACAGAGCGCGACCAUAGACCACAUGCAGUCAGUCAUGUAUCGACUAAUGCCUCACUGUUAAUGCAUGGCUGCUGUGCAGGCACGUUUUAUAUUUAUGUAUGUGUGUUCUUUGAGAGCUCGGCAGAAAUAUAUGUGUAUUUAUUUGUAUUCGACCCAACGGACAACACAACCCGUCCAGGGUGAUGUUGCGUAACGCGACCCUGCUUCACGGUUCGUCAGAGGAAGAAAGACUCACACAAUGCAAGGUUGCAGGGUUUUUUUUGUCUUGUUUCUUUUACUGUAUCAUUGAAUAAAAUCUAUAAAAUAUUCCGCAGGAAGAAAAAAAAUACAAUACAUUAUAUCAAUCAUCAUCUCAUCACCCGGCGAACUCGUCCUUCGGUGACAUUUGCAUCGACAAAACAAACAAAAAAGACAUGGAGCUUGUGCUUCAUAGAACCCUCUGGUACUCUUCAUACAAUUUAUAAAUAACAC